rnacentral:misc_RNA from 1 species
GAUGAAGAACGCAGCGAAAUGCGAUAAGUAAUGUGAAUUGCAGAAUUCAGUGAAUCAUCGAAUCUUUGAACGCACAUUGCGCCCGCUAGUAUUCUGGCGGGCAUGCCUGUCCGAGCGUCAUUUCAACCCUCAAGCCCCCGGGCUUGGUGUUGGGGAUCGGCGAGCCUCCGCGCCCGCCGUCCCCUAAAUCUAGUGGCGGUCUCGCUGUAGCUUCCUCUGCGUAGUAGCACACCUCGCACUGGGAAACAGCGCGGCCACGCCGUUAAACCCCCAACUUCUGAACGUUUGACCUCGGAUCAGGUAGGAAUACCCGCUGAACUUAAGCAUAUUAAUAAGCGGAGGA